rnacentral:rRNA from 1 species
GAAAGGAAAUAUUCGGUAAAAGAUGGGCCCGCAUCUGAUUAGCUAGUUGGUGAGAUAACAGCCCACCAAGGCGACGAUCAGUAGCCGACCUGAGAGGGUGACCGGCCACAUUGGGACUGAGACACGGCCCAAACUCCUACGGGAGGCAGCAGUGGGGAAUAUUGCACAAUGGGGGGAACCCUGAUGCAGCAACGCCGCGUGAAGGAAGACGGUUUUCGGAUUGUAAACUUCUAUCAAUAGGGAAGAAAGAAAUGACGGUACCUAAAUAAGAAGCCCCGGCUAACUACGUGCCAGCAGCCGCGGUAAUACGUAGGGGGCAAGCGUUAUCCGGAAUUACUGGGUGUAAAGGGAGAGUAGGCGGCAAGGUAAGCGAUAUGUGAAAGCCUUAGGCUUAACCUGAGGAUUGCAUAACGAACUAUCUAGCUAGAGUACAGGAGAGGAAAGCGGAAUUCCUAGUGUAGCGGUGAAAUGCGUAGAUAUUAGGAAGAACACCAGUGGCGAAGGCGGCUUUCUGGACUGAAACUGACGCUGAGGCUCGAAAGCGUGGGGAGCGAACAGGAUUAGAUACCCUGGUAGUCCACGCUGUAAACGAUGAGUGCUAGGUGUCGGG